UACAGAGGGGGCAAGCGUUAUUCGGAAUUAUUGGGCGUAAAGGGCGCGUAGGCGGCUUUGCAAGUGACGGGUGAAAGCCCUCGGCUUAACCGAGGAACUGCCUGUCAGACUGUAAGGCUUGAGACCGGGAGAGGUGAGUGGAAUUCCCAGUGUAGCGGUGAAAUGCGUAGAUAUUGGGAAGAACACCGGUGGCGAAGGCGGCGAGCUGGCCUGUUACUGACGCUGAGGCGCGACAGCGUGGGGAGCAAACAGG
rnacentral:rRNA from 1 species